CAGGGACCGAAGACAGGGAUGCGCAGGCCGGUUCGGGAUACGAAUGCUGUCCCCUGGUGGCAUUUGACUAUAUGAACCGACGGCCACGCAGGGAAAGCACACGCCGCUUGUGGUCUGCGUUUUUCACACCUCCUUAGCGAGGUGUGAACAUUCUAACCACACAUUCUAAAUGGAGUAUUGGGAUAGUCCGGUGCCCAAGCGUGGAUGAAAAGUAAA